UACAGAGGGUGCUAGCGUUAAUCGGAAUUACUGGGCGUAAAGCGCGCGUAGGCGGCUUUGCAAGUCGGGUGUGAAAUCCCCAGGCUUAACCUGGGAACUGCAUUCGAGACUGCAUAGCUAGAGUAUCGGAGAGGGAAGUGGAAUUUCAGGCGUAGCGGUGAAAUGCGUAGAUAUCUGAAGGAACAUCAGUGGCGAAAGCGACUUCCUGGACGAAUACUGACGCUCAUGUGCGAAAGCGUGGGGAGCAAACAGG
rnacentral:rRNA from 1 species